rnacentral:rRNA from 6 species
CUGCGGAGGGAUCAUUACACAAUAUGAAAGCGGGUUGGGACCUCACCUCGGUGAGGGCUCCAGCUUGUCUGAAUUAUUCACCCAUGUCUUUUGCGCACUUCUUGUUUCCUGGGCGGGUUCGCCCGCCACCAGGACCAAACCAUAAACCUUUUUGUAAUUGCAAUCAGCGUCAGUAAACAAUGUAAUUAUUACAACUUUCAACAACGGAUCUCUUGGUUCUGGCAUCGAUGAAGAACGCAGCGAAAUGCGAUACGUAGUGUGAAUUGCAGAAUUCAGUGAAUCAUCGAAUCUUUGAACGCACAUUGCGCCCUUUGGUAUUCCAAAGGGCAUGCCUGUUCGAGCGUCAUUUGUACCCUCAAGCUUUGCUUGGUGUUGGGCGUCUUUGUCUCUCACGAGACUCGCCUUAAAAUGAUUGGCAGCCGACCUACUGGUUUCGGAGCGCAGCACAAUUCUUGCACUUUGAAUCAGCCUUGGUUGAGCAUCCAUCAAGACCACAUUUUCUUAACUUUUGACCUCGGAUCAGGUAGGGAUACCCGCUGAACUUAAGCAUAUCA